CCUANGGGAGGCUGCAGUGGGGAAUAUUGCGCAAUGGGCGAAAGCCUGACGCAGCGACGCCGCGUGAGGGAUGAAGGCCUUCGGGUUGUAAACCUCUGUCGGGAGGGACGAAAUCUUGACGGUACCUCCAAAGGAAGCACCGGCUAACUCUGUGCCAGCAGCCGCGGUAAUACAGAGGGUGCAAGCGUUGUCCAGAAUCACUGGGCGUAAAGGGCGCGUAGGUGGCCUGAUAAGUCGGGGGUGAAACGCUGCGGCUUAACCGCAGCACUGCCUUCGAGACUGUCCGGCUUGAGCACGGUAGAGGCUGGUGGAAUUCCCGGUGUAGCGGUGGAAUGCGUAGAGAUCGGGAAGAACAUCGGUGGCGAAGGCGGCCAGCUGGACCGUUGCUGACACUGAGGCGCGACAGCGUGGGGAGCAAACAGGAUUAGAUACCCCGNUANUC
rnacentral:rRNA from 1 species